GUGGGGAAUUUUGGACAAUGGGCGCAAGCCUGAUCCAGCAAUGCCGCGUGCAGGAAGAAGGCCUUCGGGUUGUAAACUGCUUUUGUACGGAACGAAAAGGCUCUGGUUAAUACCUGGGGCUCAUGACGGUACCGUAAGAAUAAGCACCGGCUAACUACGUGCCAGCAGCCGCGGUAAUACGUAGGGUGCAAGCGUUAAUCGGAAUUACUGGGCGUAAAGCGUGCGCAGGCGGUUUUGUAAGACAGAGGUGAAAUCCCCGGGCUCAACCUGGGAAUUGCCUUUGUGACUGCAAGGCUGGAGUGCGGCAGAGGGGGAUGGAAUUCCGCGUGUAGCAGUGAAAUGCGUAGAUAUGCGGAGGAACACCGAUGGCGAAGGCAAUCCCCUGGGCCUGCACUGACGCUCAUGCACGAAAGCGUGGGGAGCAAACAGGAUUAGAUACCCCUGUAGUCC
rnacentral:rRNA from 1 species